rnacentral:lncRNA from 1 species
CUUUUCUUUAAGUGUGCUUAUCUCACGUUUUAAUACUUUUACCUGUUCAGUUAUUUUUUCUACUAAUCUAUUUGUUUGUAUUUCUAACUCUUUAGGCUUUUCUGUAAUAGUCUUGAUUAACUUUUCUAUUUCGUUUUCAGUAGGUAUUUUUUCUAUAUUAAAUUUAUUAUUCAAGAGUUGUAUUUUCCUGUCUCUUUCUAUUUCUUGUGAUUUUAUAGAGUCUAAAUUUUGUUCUAAUUUUUCUAAAAAUCUUCUUUGUUUAAUAUGUCCAGCCUCUGUCAUACCUCCUUACUUGCUAUACACCCCCGCAAAGGGGCGUAAAGGAGUUUUUUUCAAUUAAAGGACAAUCGGAACGAGAUUUGGUUAUUAAAGAUUCAGAGUCGCCACUUGG